GUGGCGGAGCCAGUCCCAGCACCUAGUGGGGAUCAUUUCUCUGCCUCCCUCUUCUUCUUCCUCCUUUCCCUUCUCUCCUCCUCAUUCCUCUUUGCUCCAAUGGAGUUCUUGGGGGGUACAGGGGCUUGAGCGCCCCCUGGCUCCGCCCCUUGUGGCGCGCUUGCUCGUACGUCACGUCAGAGCACUGUUUUUUUUCGUUUUGGGCGAUAAUCGAAUUAUCUAACCCAUAGGUACAAUCCUAGAUUUCUACUAAUUCCACAAACAUUUACUGAGCCACAUCACGCAUCUAACCUUUCUUGUUCCUCCACUUGCCAAAUCUGCGUAAGAAUCUGAUUUAUCUCAUCCAUGGAAGCCAUAGGCAUGGCUCCCGCUCCUCCUCCCGCUCCAGCUGCUCGAGUGCAGGGUCAAUGGGGAAGGGGAUGGGGUCAAUCUCAACGAUCUCCGACUCCUCCUCCUCCUGGUGCUCCUUGUCCAAAGGGGGGCGCGGUGCUGCCACAUCUUCUUCUUCCCUCCCUCUUUGCUCCAAUGGAGUUCUUGGGGGUAGGGGGCUUGGGCCCGCCCUACCCCCACGCUGGUUUCGCCCCUGCCGACAACAGCUUCUGAGCCAAUCCGGUUUUCUCGCUGAAAUGGGUGGGUGAAAGCGAGAGGAAUCCAAGAAAAUUUAGAUGGUUGAUGGAGAUGGUGGAGCACCGGAGCAGUUUGCCACCGUCUCAUUUGACAACUGAGCCCGUCUAGUAGCAUACAGGUUUCCAAAUAAUCAUCGCUGUCAACCAUUCAGGUUUCCAAAUAAUCAUAGCAGUCAACUUCUCUACUUAAAAUUUUGUCCACUGAUUUUUCACACAUAUCAUAUGCAUUGCUUCACCAAAUGUUUUAA